rnacentral:rRNA from 1 species
UUUAAGCAUGUAGGCUGGUUGUCCAGGCAAAUCCGGAUAAUCAAGGCUGAGGUGUGAUGACGAGGCACUACGGUGCUGAAGUAACAAAUGCCCUGCUUCCAGGAAAAGCCUCUAAGCAUCAGGUAACAUCAAAUCGUACCCCAAACCGACACAGGUGGUCAGGUAGAGAAUACCAAGGCGCUUGAGAGAACUCGGGUGAAGGAACUAGGCAAAAUGGUGCCGUAACUUCGGGAGAAGGCACGCUGGUGUGUAGGUGAAGUCCCUGCGGAUGGAGCUGAGACCAGUCGAAGAUACCAGCUGGCUGCAACUGUUUAUUAAAAACACAGCACUGUGCAAACACGAAAGUGGACGUAUACGGUGUGACGCCUGCCCGGUGCCGGAAGGUUAAUUGAUGGGGUUAUCCGUAAGGAGAAGCUCUUGAUCGAAGCCCCGGUAAACGGCGGCCGUAACUAUAACGGUCCUAAGGUAGCGAAAUUCCUUGUCGGGUAAGUUCCGACCUGCACGAAUGGCGUAAUGAUGGCCAGGCUGUCUCCACCCGAGACUCAGUGAAAUUGAACUCGCUGUGAAGAUGCAGUGUACCCGCGGCAAGACGGAAAGACCCCGUGAACCUUUACUAUAGCUUGACACUGAACAUUGAGCCUUGAUGUGUAGGAUAGGUGGGAGGCUUUGAAGCGUGGACGCCAGUCUGCGUGGAGCCAACCUUGAAAUACCACCCUUUAAUGUUUGAUGUUCUAACGUUGGCCCCUGACCGGGGUUGCGGACAGUGUCUGGUGGGUAGUUUGACUGGGGCGGUCUCCUCCCAAAGCGUAACGGAGGAGCACGAAGGUUAGCUAAUCCUGGUCGGACAUCAGGAGGUUAGUGCAAUGGCAUAAGCUAGCUUGACUGCGAGCGUGACGGCGCGAGCAGGUGCGAAAGCAGGUCAUAGUGAUCCGGUGGUUCUGAAUGGAAGGGCCAUCGCUCAACGGAUAAAAGGUACUCCGGGGAUAACAGGCUGAUACCGCCCAAGAGUUCAUAUCGACGGCGGUGUUUGGCACCUCGAUGUCGGCUCAUCACAUCCUGGGGCUGAAGUAGGUCCCAAGGGUAUGGCUGUUCGCCAUUUAAAGUGGUACGCGAGCUGGGUUUAGAACGUCGUGAGACAGUUCGGUCCCUAUCUGCCGUGGGCGCUGGAGAAUUGAGGGGGGCUGCUCCUAGUACGAGAGGACCGGAGUGGACGCAUCACUGGUGUUCGGGUUGUCAUGCCAAUGGCACUGCCCGGUAGCUAAAUGCGGAAGAGAUAAGUGCUGAAAGCAUCUAAGCACGAAACUUGCCCCGAGAUGAGUUCUCCCUGAGACUUUAAGUCUCCUGAAGGAACGUUGAAGACGACGACGUUGAUAGGCCGGGUGUGUAAGCGCAGCGAUGCGUUGAGCUAACCGGUACUAAU